AACAGUUCCUGACAGUUCAUGAUAAGCUGUCACUGCAGACAUCCUGAAGAACACACAGCUUAGUGCCUGUGAUUCUCAUAAGAGAAUUCUCAAGCAACAUUUACAAGUCCAGAUCCCGGGAUCCAGGGAGGCUAGGAAGCACGUGGAGCUCAGAAAGGGGCUGGCUGCAUCCUCUGCUGAACAAUUAGAUCUUGUGUAUAAGACACGAUUCUGGUACUAGUUUUGUUUUGUUUGUGGUCUUUGGGUGAAGAUUUUGCAACCGUGUGUGUGUGUGUGUGUGUGUGUCUGUGUGUGUGUGUCUGUGUGUGUGUGUGUACCUUGCAUACAAUCCAGAGGAGGAAAAAAGAGAUAAAAAGAUCUGAAAUAUAAAUGCUUUUCACAAUACUUUGGUAUAAAUUUGGGAUUAAUUCGAAAGUUCUUGAUUGUAAAUAAUAAACUUUCCCCAAGAAAAGGAGUACGAUGAACUUUCUUUAAGAAAAAAAAAAAAAAUCCAAUGCAUUUCACAUGACCAAGGAUUGCACAGAUGCAUUUCUGGACCAAGGAGGAGAAGAUUGAACGUUGGAGGGGGGCUGCCCGUCUGACUUCCUCACCUGUUCGAGGGGGUCGGGAAGGGGGGUUACCGCUAAGUCAUCACUUUUUUAUGUGUGUCGGUUAAAACUACAAAGGCAACCAAAAGGAGGUCUUAUCCGUUUUUUGUGAGCUUCAGUUGGGAGCAGCAGGUAGAAGAAGCUGCACUCUGGUUUUACUUUUUCACCACCGGGACCUAUAAAUAGAUGAGGCUGUGUGGCUUUCUCGCUGAGUUACCUCCACCUUCUUGCCUGGGACCUCACGAUCCAGGCGGCUCUAACUCCCACAUGAACAUUCGCAGCUCACUGCCCCCGCAGUCAUUUUCCACAACAUGUGUGUGACAUGAAGAAGUGCGUCUCAGCAUGGUGUGUUUGUGUGUGUUGUUGUUAUUUUUGUUUUAGCGUUGAGUUCUAGAUGUCUUCCGCCCACACUGCCAACUCUGGAAGCAAGGCUUUCUAAAUGUCUCGAAGAGGUCCUCGAUAUUUGUUGAAGGAAGAAAACAUUGCUCUUGGUUAUUUUUGCUCCCCAUGUAUCCAAAAAUACACUAACUUUUAUGUUUCAUAACUAUUCAAUACUAGUCCCUCGGCCGCUCUUACAUGAUGAUGUACAGUGUUUAUCUGCCAGGCCGCGUUUUGUACAAACUGCCUUUACUCUCCCCAACUAUUUGGUAAAGAAAAUUAUUUUCA
rnacentral:lncRNA from 1 species